UCUGGUUGAUCCUGCCAGAGGUUACUGCUAUCGAGGUUCGACUAAGCCAUGCGAGUCGAAUGUAGCAAUACAUGGCGUACUGCUCAGUAACACGUGGACAACCUGCCCUUAGGUUGGGUAUAAACCCGGGAAACUGGGUAUAAUCCCCUAUAAGUCUCGGCUGCUGGAAUGCACCGAGAUUAAAAGCUCCGGCGCCUAAGGAUGGGUCUGCGGCCUAUCAGGUAGUAGUGGGUGUAGCGUACCUACUAGCCUACGACGGGUACGGGUUGUGAGAGCAAGAGCCCGGAGAUGGAUUCUGAGACACGAAUCCAGGCCCUACGGGGUGCAGCAGGCGCGAAAACUUUACAAUGCUGGCAACAGCGAUAAGGGAACCUCGAGUGCCAGGUUACAAAUCUGGCUGUCGAGAUGCCUAAAAAGCAUUUCAUAGCAAGGGCCGGGCAAGACCGGUGCCAGCCGCCGCGGUAACACCGGCGGCUCGAGUGGUAACCGUUAUUAUUGGGUCUAAAGGGUCUGUAGCCGGCCGGAUAAGUCUCUUGAGAAAUCUGGCAGCUUAACUGUCAGGCUUUCAGGAGAUACUGUCUGGCUCGAGGCCGGGAGAGGUGAGAGGUACUUCAGGGGUAGGGGUGAAAUCUUGUAAUCCUUGAAGGACCACCAGUGGCGAAGGCGUCUCACCAGAACGGACCUGACGGCAAGGGACGAAAGCUAGGGGCACGAACCGGAUUAGAUACCCGGGUAGUCCUAGCCGUAAACGAUACUCGCUAGGUGUCGGCCACGGUGCGACCGUUGUCGGUGCCGUAGGGAAGCCGUGAAGCGAGCCACCUGGGAAGUACGGCCGCAAGGCUGAAACUUAAAGGAAUUGGCGGGGGAGCACCACAACGGGUGGAGCUUGCGGUUUAAUUGGAUUCAACGCCGGAAAUCUUACCGGGACCGACAGCAAUAUGAAGGCCAGGCUGAAGACUUUGCCGGAUUAGCUGAGAGGUGGUGCAUGGCCGUCGUCAGUUCGUACUGUAAAGCAUCCUGUUAAGUCAGGCAACGAGCGAGACCCA
rnacentral:rRNA from 1 species